GGCCUAACACAUGCAAGUCGAGCGGUAACAGAAAGUAGCUUGCUACUUUGCUGACGAGCGGCGGACGGGUGAGUAAUGCUUGGGAACAUGCCUUGAGGUGGGGGACAACAGUUGGAAACGACUGCUAAAACCGCAUAAUGUCUACGGACCAAAGGGGGCUUCGGCUCUCGCCUUUAGAUUGGCCCAAGUGGGAUUAGCUAGUUGGUGAGGUAAUGGCUCACCAAGGCGACGAUCCCUAGCUGGUUUGAGAGGAUGAUCAGCCACACUGGGACUGAGACACGGCCCAGACUCCUACGGGAGGCAGCAGUGGGGAAUAUUGCACAAUGGGCGCAAGCCUGAUGCAGCCAUGCCGCGUGUGUGAAGAAGGCCUUCGGGUUGUAAAGCACUUUCAGUCAGGAGGAAAGGUUAGUAGUUAAUACCUGCUAGCUGUGACGUUACUGACAGAAGAAGCACCGGCUAACUCCGUGCCAGCAGCCGCGGUAAUAC
rnacentral:rRNA from 1 species